AAGAGAGAGAGAGAGAGAAUAUUUUAAUGAAAAAGACAAACGAAUAGGUAAGUUAAGGGAGAGUGAGUUGUUGAGCGUUGGGUGAGGAUAAGCAGACCUAAAAAAUAAAAUAAAAGAAAGGGGGGUACCAUCUGAUUCCUGGGAUAGAGGACGGAAGAGACAAGGAGGAUGGGAGAUGGCUGCUGGGAAUGUCGUGAGAAGAGGAGAGAAACAGGGACUUUAGAAAGAGGGAGCAGCAGCUGGCUGGUGCUGAGUCAUGGGUGAUUGAGGGAGUGAUAGGCGGCUGCAGCAGGGUGGAGGAAAUGGAAGUGGUGGAGCAACAAGGUGGAGGAAGUUGCAGAUGGUUGUUGGAGUGGAGAGAUGAUGGUGGCAGCCGGUUGCAGAGAGAUUGAGUAGCAAGGAGAAGGGUCUGAGACAGUUGGGGGCAGCAGAGAAAGGUGGAGAUGGGAAGAUGAGGAUUCGGCAGAGGUGACUGCUGAGUGGUAAUAGGUAGUAGGGAACUAGAAGGAAGGAGCGGUGGUAACAGCUAAGAUGUCACCUGGUUUAGGAGAACAGACGAAAUGGGAGAGGCGGAGUUUGGUUGAUUUGCUGCGAUUGAGAGGGGCGGAGUUUGCUGGUCAGAAGAAAGAGGACUGGUUGGAGGAAAGGACGGCUAAUGAUAGAGGAUAAGAUAGGGGACCGGCUGGUGAUAGAUUAGAGAGAUGGCGGCAACCUGAAUUCUAGGUACGGGAAGAAGGAAGGGAGUUUGGCGAGAAUCAAGGGAAGAGAGCGGCUGCGUGAUUGGAGUGGAUUUGAGAGGCUGGUGGUGGCAGAGGAAGGUCGUGGCAGACGGCAUUGGGGGAGGAGGAGUGCGCCCUGCGAUGAAAGAGAUGAGUGCAUACGGCAAUGAUACGGCAACGAGUAAAGAUGAGUGGGCACGACGAUGAGGGAGGAGGCGGAGUGCGCGAGAUGGUGAUAGGGUUAGGAAAGGGGGGGGGUACGGCGACAGGGGAAAGAUAGGUUAGAGGGAAGAUACUUUGGCGCGGCCAGAGGAAAAAUAAGGGUUCACGCCACGAUAGGGUUAGGAAAGUGGCGCACGGAUGGCUUUUGGUAAGGAAAUGAGCAAAGGACGACAAGACCUAAGAGAGAAGGAAGUCACCACAAAGGUGCACUAAAUAAAGGGUGUGGCAAGGUGCAAAAGAAAAAAAAAGAAAAAAGAAAAGGGAAGAUGGAGGCCGGGAUUACCACAUAAAAGAGAGGGAGGUAGACCCAAGGGUUCACAUAGAGGAAAUCAUCAUGUGAGGGACUACAGAGAGGGAAGGAAAGAAUAAGAAAGGCAGAAAGAAUGAUAUAGACGGCAAUAGGCUUUCGCCAUAUGUGAAAGAGGAGAGAGAAAGAAAAGAAGAAAGAGUAUGAGAAGAGAUAUUUUUUAUGAAGGCGUGUUUAAGGUCAUGCCUUCGGGACCUGUGUGAAGCCUUUUAAUAUCAUGCGGUCAGGACGUGGGCUACAGUUUAAGGUCAUAUAGUUGUACCAUAGUGGAGAUGGAUGGCAGUCUGUUGAGGCCAUGGAGUGAGUAUGGUGGUGGUUUUGGCUCACUUUGGGGAGAUGGCACGAGGCUACCACAGAAAAGUGGAAGAUGUAUGAAUGGAAGGUGAAAAGUGGUGACCCACUAGCUUACGAUGAGUAUGGAUGCUGGAAUGGCUCGCCCUUUUGUGAGCACGGGUGAGACUCACUGGGGAAUGAUGGAUGAUAGUGAAGCGAUAUGGACUCGCUGGGGAGGUAAUGAAGGUGGUGCGCAUACACGAACGGGUCAGUUAGGGAAGACGUGCGUGAAAAUGAAUAUAAAGGGUACGUGCGUGUGUGGAGGUGAAUUUAAAGUCAUGCCUCCUGGACCUGUGCAAAUCAGUUUAACGUCA
rnacentral:lncRNA from 1 species